GAUCCUGGCUCAGGACGAACGCUGGCGGCGUGCCUAACACAUGCAAGUCGAACGGGACUUGCCCCUUCGGGGACAAGUUUAGUGGCGGACGGGUGAGUAACGCGUGAGCAACCUACCUUUCAGUGGGGGGACAACAGUUGGAAACGACUGCUAAUACCGCAUAACACUUAUUUAGGGCAUCUUAAAUAAGUCAAAGAUUUAUUGCUGAGAGAUGGGCUCGCGUCUGAUUAGCUAGUUGGUGGGGUAACGGCCCACCAAGG
rnacentral:rRNA from 1 species